AUGUCUGAUGGCUUCCUAAAUGUCCCUUGGACUCUGUUGAGAUUAGUGGGGGAAUGCAGAACAGGUGUCAUAAGGCUGACAUCAAUAGCAUAACAAAACAAAGACAAGUUUUGAAGAAAAGAAGAAAAUGAAUGGAAUGAGGAUGAGUCAAUCUUCCCAAGAGCCCCUAUCUGGGAUGACUAUCAGCAUGACUAUUUGGUACCUGAAGGUGUCAUUAACUCAUCACCUUGUACCAUACUCUUAUUUCUGGAUGUAUGCGGGACAGUCUACAGGAUCUUCUGUCUUAGAAUGAAGAGGCACCUGACGUCUCCUGACAGGAGAAGAAAUGCACUUUCCUGUAAGCUAAGAAAUCAUAUUCAGACCUGUUAAAACAGGAAUAAUACACUUUGUGCAAAUUUUACAUAUUGAAGUAUGCAACAGGGACACAUGGUGAUUCUGUUAUCCUUUAAGAUCUAAACUCUUACAUCUUUUUACUAAGAAAUGUGUAAAUACAAAAGCUAAUGAUCUACAGAUACAAUGAAAGGAUGCCAUGGAUUUUUCCACUAUUUCUGUAUAGGUCACUUGAUGUGACAAUAAAUUGUAAAUGGAUUUCCCUACAUUCACCACAGCUCAAGUCACACAUCUUAGCAGGACAAAAACCUCAGAAUGAUGAAAGAGAAUUCAUUUUAUUACUUCUUGAGCAUAUAGAAAAGUUAAGGCAAGGCACAUUCAGUUGAAAGGUUGUUAAAUGUUUUCUAUUAAAAAUAGUUUUAGGUGAAACUUAUUCCUUGCAGUAUUAAGUUCUUCAGGGAUUUUUUCCCUUUCUUAACCGCAUCCAAAACAAUAGGGAUGAUGGACAGAUAUGUUAUUGCUAAGUGCUAUUACCUUUUUCACAGUAUCCUGAGUAUGUUCCUGUUAUAGAAAUAUAGAAUAAAACUGAGUUCUUGUGUUGAAAUUUGACAUGAAAAUUGCAUUGAAUCAAAAAUGAUUGGAAAAAUAUUCAUUUAAUAAGCCACUUAUUCAUGUUUUCAUUUCAACUGUGUUCAUAUGUUUCAGGAAUCUUUGGAUUAGGAGUCAUUUGGCAUUUUUAUCUUCAGCUUCUAGCAGUCUCCACUUCCUGGAGCUGAUCAAAGUUACUGCUUUCAUUUCUGUUUGAAAUUCAGCAAUGAAGAGACUUUUUGGUAUGAUAACAGUCUUGGACAGAUUAUAAAAAACUGUAAAAUAUUGAUUCUACAAAUUCUGAGUGUCAAAUUUGUUUGAAUUGUCCUUUUAAAGA